UGGGAACGUGCCCGAAGGUACGGAACAACUCCGGGAAACUGGAGCUAAUACUGUAUGUGCCCGAAAGGGGAAAGAUUCAUCGCCUUUGGAUCGGCCCGCGUCUGAUUAGCUAGUUGGCGGGGUAAUGGCCCACCAAGGCGACGAUCAGUAGCUGGUCUGAGAGGAUGAUCAGCCACAUUGGGACUGAGACACGGCCCAAACUCCUACGGGAGCAG
rnacentral:rRNA from 1 species